rnacentral:lncRNA from 1 species
UGUCCAACAAAGCUGUUAUUUUAUCAGGAAGAACUGAAAGCUCAUUUCAGAAACUGAAGCUUCUCAGGAAUGAACCAAAUGAUUUGGUAGACAUGCCUUGAAAUUUAUCAGAAAAUUACGAGUAUUGUUUUGUUAGGAGAUAGGAAUUAACUAAUGUUUCUAAAAUGCCUGACUUUAGAUCAAGAAUUUCAGCAACUUGAUGCACUCAAGAUGGAGAACCCAUAUUUUUUUUUUUUUAAACUGCCACCCUCACAACUUUGUUCUAACUGUGUCUGGAGAUCUGUGAUUCAAGUGGUUGGUUCAGCAGCUCAAUCAUCCGUCUCCACUGAAUCCCAACCUGAAGGUUUUAUGCAGCAGUCCCCGAUUCAAAGCGUCCUCCUGCAAGCAAGUCACUAAAACAAAGACUUGUGGGCCCUGGGAGAAGCAGGGAAGGGACAUUUGAAGACUUUGCCUACUGAUGGCAGGAUUGAACCUGUUCCCCACAGCCGGAGACGCACUAUAACAUGUGCUCCACACCUUCACAAGCACGAAGAACAAGGCAAGUUUGUUUUCCAAGUUGACUAACGUUGAUAGCAGCCAUUCCAAACAUGGAAAGGAUUUACUUACUCAGUUCACUUCCUGGUGUUACAAGGCACUGAAACUUGC